UUGUGAGUCACUGAAAAACCAGCAAGCACACUUCCCUGCACAGGCUGCACACAACCUUCCUGAUCCUGGUGCAGGCAUAAGGAGUAGUCAACUCUAAAUGCUGAGGCAAAGUCUAGGGAGAUGCCCCAGGAACACGUUACAACAGAAGGUAGCAGUCAGAGUACUGGAGACCACUUGGCACGUGUAUGUAAGGACACACAUAGAAGGGUGAAAUGAAUGCCACAGAUAUUACUGAGAAGAAAAUUAAUCGCUCAUGAAGAAGAAAAUUGAAGAGAAGAGGAACAGCCAUAAAGGGAGAUACUCAAGCAUUUAUAAAUCUAAGCAUUUCAAAAAUAUCUUAAACAAUUUAUUGAUAAAAAUGUAUUUGAUCAAAUGCACAACUCUUUCUCUCUAAACUAUAGCAACCAGACGUUUCUUUUAAAAAUAACUCUUUGGGUUUUCCUUCCUUUAGGCAGAGAGAAUAAAGAACAAAAGCUAUUUCCUUUUUUCAUGCUGGUUUUAUUCCAGGCCAGGAUUUGCCACUGUGACUAAUGAUGCUUAUCACAUGCUGUCUCACAGUGGUGAGAUCACAAACCAUUAUCACCACUGAAGUGCUGAAAUACAGCAAACGCAGCCACACAAGUUGAACACAAUUUAAUUUCACUGACAAAGGAGACAAUACUUUUUCUUCAAAACCACCUGCCCAGACUGAAAUUUACUUAUCAUUUACAAUGUCCCAGAAUCAAAUAAAAUAGAAGAGACUCAGAUGGCCCUCCUGUUCUGAGGAGGACAAUUAAAGGUAUUAGUGCCAAGGUAAAUUAAUACAUUGUAGAUUCAGGGAUAUGACAUCAAUACAGAACCUAGAUUGACAAAUAUUCAGAUAAGCGAUUUAUAAGCUUCAGAAGGACAGUAGCAGUGCUGGUUGUGCCUGUCCUACUCUGAACAGGUACAGCAGUCAUCAAAGCCCAGGGUACCAGCCACCGGCAACAAUGUGCUAUAGUGUCAUCCCAGAAAAUAUCACUUACACAGGGUGCCUUCUGGCAGACCAGGUAUUCUCCAGCUGUUUGAAUGUAACAACAAGAGCAUGAAACAGAAGUGCUCUGGGUAAAGGCACCGAUUAACUCAGUUGAUUAACAGAACAAAAAUUAGAAAAAAAAAAAACAAAUAAAAGUUUAUAAAAACUAUGAGUUUCUGUUACGUCACCAACUAGCACCUCUGCCUUAUCCAUUCUGAAGCCGAGACACUGCAAAGCAUAUCAAAACAAAUCCAGGCUGCACUUCCUGAAAUCUUCAGAACAGGAUCAUAAUUUCUGAAUGAUUUGUCAGAUGUGAGCAUGGCAACAAUAGUAGUUGUUGCUUUGUAUCGUGAAAUAUAGAAGGGGAAAAUUAACAUUUACAGCUAGAAGUCCUAACCAAAGAGUGUAAUCAUUACAGUGCCCUGGGCUGGCCUGACGUCAGAUCCUCAUGCCCUAUUCCCAGUGCAUUUUCAGAAAAAUCCUGAUGCUAUACAUGCCUAUGCUAAUCUUGACACUUGUUUAAACAGCAGAGCUGAAGUCCCAAAGGCAUAUGAGUAGUAACACUCAUCAAGCACAGCCAGGAGAAAAAAGCAUUUAAUUCAUAAAUACGAAAUGACAGCACUGUCAGUAAAACGAAGUAACUUUUUGUAAUGUUCAAGUUAAUCUCAUGUUUCUCCCAACUCUUUGAACCCCACUUCUUCAAUUUUUCAUGGUAUAUGGAAGAAAGAAAAAUUACUCUUGACAGCAGUGAGGAAGGAACACACUGUAAUGCCAAUCAAUGCAGGAUAACAUUUUCUUUAAUACUUUUCUUUGUAGGCUUUGCCGAAAUCUCAAGGCAAAGUGUUUGCCCCAAUUUUAUUUAAAUAAAUCAUUUCAAGCAAAGUGGAAAGACUUGAAGCAGAAACCUCAAAUGAGGCAAACUCUCCCAAAGACAGUGUCACCCUUUACAGCCUGGGUGGAAACACAAUGCUUACUCACAGCAGGAUAGGAAUCCCAAAUAGAAGCUCCAGAGACACCAGUCCUGAGUAAUUAAUGUACAGGUUUCAGCAGCAUCACUGGUACCCUAACAGAAUGAGCUCAAAUUGAAGAGGGGAGAGUGCAGACACGUUUUUGUUUGUUUCUUGGUUGUUGUUGUUGUUUUAAUAAACUGAAAACAUCUUAGCUUUUAACCAGCCACUGCGGUCAAAAGUAAGGUGGCUCUGAGCUCCCCAAGGAGCUGAAGGACAAGGGAGGAGCCUCCGAAGACUGAUAUAGGCUUUGUGCUAGAGCUAAUGUGCUUUGAGGAUAAUGGCCUUGCUGUAAAUAGCCAUGCUUCUCUGCCCUUCCCUCCUGGACCAUGCCAUCAGACCAGUAAUGUUUGUCUGUACCUGUUCUCCAGGUUAUCCCAAGCAUCCUCUGUGGAGUCAUCCUCUUGUUAUCCUCCAGUGCCUGAAUCAAUUGGGUCAUUCCCACUUAGGCUAUGUCAGAAAAUGGGACAUACACUCUACCCUUCAGGCUAGAGAGAACAUGUCAUUUAGAGAAACAACAUUCCAGAAUAAGAAUUAAAUGCAGUUUACUAUGGGAUGAAAAACAUGAAAAGAUUGCAUCUUUGGAGUAAGGAAACAAUAUGUUAAUCUCACUGUUGAACUAAAAAACAAGUCAUGAAGUUUCCCAACAACACUGGGCAGAGAUCUUUAAUUAGUUCAUAAAACAUUUUACUGAAAUAGAAGUUUAUCUGCAUACCAAAGCAAAAGGUGCUCAUUAAUUGCAUGUCAUUAAGUGCAAGUUGUUUUGUAAUUAGUAAAAAUUACUACAGGCAAGGUUGAUUCAGACAAGAACUGCACCUAGGUGAGUGUCGUAUUUCUGUCAGCAGCGAGUCUGCUGAAAAUACAGAGAAGAAAUUGGAAACUCAGUCAUGACCCAUGGGGACAGGCAGUCAGACAAUGCAUUCCAACCUAUCCGAAUGAGCACUAGGAAGGAAUCUGAUCAAACACAAAUAAUGAAUGCUUUUGCUAUAAAUGACUGUGUUAGCCAAAUGGAAAACUAAAAAAGUUUGAAAGUUUCACACAAAUAAAUUCUUUUCUUUGCACUGAAUCGACACUGUACUCCCACUCCUUCACGAAGGAAGUUAAGAGCUUCUUUAUAUUUCAAGCCUACUCUGUUUUUCUCAACAAAAUAUAAAUGAAAAGGCCGUGUGAAUUAUUAACAGAUGUCAACAGAGAGCUAGCCAGGUCUUUCAAACACUUCUGCUCUUCUUCCUACAUGAAUUCCCUAAUUGUGAUUGCAAAAUAUGUCUUCUUACUCCUUCCAUACUUUAAAUCCAUAAUUAGAGCUGAUCAAAUAGCUUUUUAAGGAAUAAAAAUUCUUUUACAUUCCUUCCUCUUUUCUUUUCCUAGCAGAAAACAUUUUUCCUUUUCCCCAUUUAAUACCUUUCCAGUAGCGCAAGCUCAUGUGGGGCAUCACGGAGUCCAAUGGAAACAGAUAUUAUUUAAUUCUGAAUAGAAACAGACAUAUAAUCACAAAAUCUGAAAACAGACUGAAGCUUUUGUCAUGCUAAGAUGUUAACCAUUGGCUCGAGUUAAAAACAAAUCCUGUUCAUUGUAAACAUUUGGACCAUCCCUCUCCCCCAUCUCCAAGAAACCCCCCAAAACACAGCCAACAAAGAGGUGAGCAGAAGGACAUCACAUUGAUCCAGCACCAUCAACUGCUUCAGAGCAUGCUUGGUAUUUACACAUACAUACAGAUUUAAUACUGCUUCAGUCCAUUUACAUCAUUUAACUCAAACUCUGAAUUUGUCAAAUGAUCACUGCAAAUCCAAUGCAAGAAAUAAAAAUGAAAUAACAUAAGUCAGUAUCAGUGCAACUGGCAGGUGAUAAUAUAUGACAACUAAUGCAGAUAAAAACGAUUGAAAUCACAGCUACAAUAGCAAGCUUUAAAAACAGCAACCUUUUUGACAACUUUGAAAAGGAAUCAGGAUGAUCCUAAAUGAACACUUAUCUAUUAACUUCAAAAUUUAAAUCCAUAAAUUCAUAACUUUCAUAAAUUAGGACCAUUUUAAAAGGUAAGGUAAAGCACAGCAUCUGACAUAACAUAAAAUGGGGGAGUCAAGUUUGCCACUGUGGUGCAGAUAGUUCCCAGUGAUGCUACAGGGAAUUACCUGCAAAAAUAUAAAACAGGAUAACCUCUGAGAUUUGGAUUUGACUCCACUGCAUACACAUGCUGUUCAUUAUGCCUGCCAAGAAAUGGACAAAAGCAGCACACACAUUAGCAGCAGCUCCUGCUUAAAAACAAUAAGCACAACACAUCAUCCCCUUAGCCAGCUCCCCAAUGAAAGUACUUCAGACUAAGCCACACAAAAAUUAACAGUGAGCUUUUGAAUGACAGGACACCAUGUGCUCCAUAAUCUACAGAACCAGUGAAGUACUUACAAGGUUUCUUAAAUAAAUUGAUCAUCCCUACAAUUUCAGAUGAAGUCAGAGAAACUCCAAACUUGA